rnacentral:misc_RNA from 1 species
AACCUUAUGGACCUGCGGGCGUAUACCUGCGGAAGGAUCAUUAUCGAGUGUAACCUACCACGUAAAAAAGGGUGGUACCUCCCGUCCUUUGCAGGCCCCCCUUUUGAUGGGGGGGCUUUUUAAGACUUUCUGCUUCGGCGGGGUUACUCCCGCCGGAACACCCUCAAAAAAACUCUUGAUCAAAAACCGUUCAGUCCGAGAAUUUUUGAAAAUUAAAAAAAAACUUUCAACAACGGAUCU